rnacentral:lncRNA from 1 species
CCCACUGCUGGGCACAGGCCUCCCCUCAAUCAACCGGAGGGGGUAUGGAGCAUACUCCACCACGCUGCUCCACUGCGGGUUGGUGGAGGUAUUUUUACGGCUAAUAGCCGCCGCGGUGGUGCAAUGGUUAACACGCUCGUCGCGACUUGACUAGAGCCACGGCUUCAAAUCCCGCCCGAGUCAGAAUUUUUCAAUUUAAUUUUCUCUUUGUAUUAAUCCUUUUACAAAUGGUUUUUAAAGAGGUUCGCUUACCAGACCCAUUAUUAUACGGUUAAUAUUCAAAAUUGUUUUAAAUUCAUAUUGUAAUUAUACUAGUCAAAAUAAGAAUGAAGUGUCUUUAAGGUUCUUCCUGUAUUUUAUAGGAGAUAUAUUUGGGUCUGCUUAUAAUAAUUUUAAAAUUAAUAUAUUUCGCGCACACUGUUUGACUUACCUUAUUUAUUAAAGUAAUUCGUUUAUUUCCCAAAUUAAUGUACCUUAUCUCUAUAAGCCUAUGCACAUAAGCACACACAGCAUUGUACUUUUUCAACUGUGUCAUCAGUCAGACUUUUUUGACGUGAUUUAUUGUAAAUUAAUUUGCCUCAGAUAGCUUUAAGCACUUGGCCGGACAAAUGGGCAUCGUUGGGGGCUCCGGUACAAAAAUUUUAAGACAAUAGGCCUGAGGGUGCCCAAUUGGCGAACUAUCUGUCAGAGAGUGAGAUCAUUAUGGGAACGAAUAUUAUAUUGUUUAUUACAUUAGCUAUUUCACUGUGAAAACGGUAAGAUGGCGGAGACAAUUCUCAGCGAUAAGGCUGCUAAUUGCUGUAAAAACAAAUGCCGGUUCUCCGUUCAAUAAAAUAAAACUGAACUAUGCUAUGCUAGGAGAAAAAACGGCUAUAAAAUGGUUGUUUAUUUUUAAAAAAACUUAGCCAGACGAGACACAGCUAAUUUACUUGUUAGCUGAUAACUCUAGCAAUAUUUAUAGUGAUUACAUUACAGUUAACGUAAUUUUACCUUCGUUAUACCAAAGGUUAGUAAAUUCUCUUACAAGUUUGCCGUUAUGUUAUUUAUAUUGGAGUUAUUUAUUUACUUUUUUGUGGUUUUAGCACGAAUUUGCUAUCAUACAAUUAAUACAGAGUAAAAUUGUAUGGGAGAUUAACUAGUUCCAUUUGCAACCGCUUGGCGGCGCUGUUCCUCAUACAUUUUUUUGGAAGAUAGAAAAUUCAUGUUUACACCACUUAGUUCGAUUUUGAUGUUUGUUGUUUUGUGAGUGAUUAUUUCACAUUUUUAAUCGGUAGCGUUAUAUGAAAUGAUUAGAAAUUAUGAAAAUUAGUCUUCUAAAUUGCCAAAGAAUGCAUUAUUGUAAAAAAAGGGUAGUUAAUUAUACCAUUUAUUGCCUUAUUUAUGUGUACCAAUUUGUUUUUAACGUUUUAUCAUAUUAGAUACUCAAAUUGCAACUAAUUAUUUAUUUUUAUAAAUUGUAAGCUUAGCCAGACACAGGUUGUUAGUGAUAUAACGAAAAAAAAAUUAGUAAGUAGGUACAUCUAUGUGAUUGUACUGAAAACGAUGGUCGGUAUUAUUCUAUCGAAUUAUCCCCCAAAGCUUUCUUUAAAGAUUUCUUACUUCACUAACACCCUGUGUAUAAAAAAAUUGAAAAGGUUGUUUUAAAUAUUACAGUUUUUUUUUAUACAUGUUGUUAGCAGCAUCGUAACGAAAACUUUGAGGGAUGAUUCAGACCGUGAUUCUGAGUUGAUAUCAAGUGGAAUUUUCCGUGGCAAAAGUAUAGUACUGAAAAUAAUAAAAUGAAAAAACACAAAUAAACGAAUUUUGCGACGGAAAAUUCCACUUGAUAUUAACUCAGAAUCAUGGUCUGAAUCAUCCCCCUCAGUAUUCGUUACGAUGUCACUAACACCCUGUAUACCUAUACCAUAGCAUGCUGCAACGCUUUUGACUACGCGACUAAGCUUAUUUAUCGCGACGCGCGCGACAUACGUGCAGCAUACUACGGUUACUAAUUAUAAUUUAUAACCCUUAUAACAUAGCAUGAUUAGGAGGAUAUAUUUCUCGUCUUUGUCGUUCUAACCUGUACAUCGUUAGUGGGAAAGAGACGUAUCUCUAUCCUGUGGUAAUCCUAAUCAUUGCUGUGCUAUAAGGGGUAUAGACUUAAAUACAACUAAUGAAUAGCCGACGUUGUAAAUACUUUCCAUAAUUUAUUUUGUAGUAUAGAUUUUGUUGUUAUAAAGUAUUGUAAUCGUUCACCGCUAAUAUAAUGGAUAUAUUUUCUGUGUAGCAACACGAAAUAUUGUACAAAGAAUAUUAUUUUUAAACAAUAAAGCUAUUUUAUUUUAA